GAAAAAUAUAGUGUACAAGGAAUCAUUUCAGUAACAUUGGUGUGCCAACGAGGACCUUUAUAAAUCGGAAAAGAUAAGUCAAUUGAAAGUGAAGUACACGACUUAAUACAACAACGCAAUCCACUCCACCUAUUUUGUGUUCAGGAGCUGCGAUCAAUAAAGUAACGCUAAACGAAUACUUUUAUUUAAAGAUCACUUAUCAUCACCAGCUAAGAAAAGAAGUUAUACCAGGUGUAAGAAAACUACAAAAGACUCACGUGCCAAUGACAUCAUGUCGAUACGAAUUGGGGAAGUGAACAACGUAUAUUACGCCAUCUCCAAUUCAUAACAUGGAGUACCGAAUCCUUCACAAACACUUGUCGUUGUAUGCAUGCUUUCCGCGAUCGUAUUGGUACCGAUCAUUUUGUUGAUAUAUUCGUCUAUGCUAUGCGUAAAGAUGAGGAAGGUAUUGCGGAGUCAGGAAUGUAAUCACAAAGCACAGAAACGAAUAAAU